rnacentral:tRNA from 1 species
GGAGCGGUAGUUCAGUCGGUCAGAAUACCUGCCUGUCACGCAGGGGGGCGCGGGUUCGAGUCCCGUCCGUUCCGCCA